rnacentral:tRNA from 1 species
GGAGGGUAUAGCUCAGUGGUAGAGCUCAUGCUUAGCAUGUAUGAGGUCCUGGGUUCAAUCCCCAGUACCUCCA